GAUGAACGCUGGCGGCGUGCCUAAUACAUGCAAGUCGAGCGAACGGACGAUGAGCUUGUUUCUCUGAUGUUAGCGGCGGACGGGUGAGUAACACGUGUAUAACCUACUUAUAUGACUGGUAUAACUUCGGGAAACCGGAUCUAACACCGGAUAAUAUUUUGCACCGCAUGGUUCAAAAGUGAAAUACGGUCGUGCUGUCACUUAUAGAUGGAUCCGCGCUGCAUUAGCUAGUUGGUAAGGUAACGGCUUACCAAGGCAACGAUGCAUAGCCGACCUGAGAGGGUGAUCGGCCACACUGGAACUGAGACACGGUCCAGACUCCUACGGGAGGCAGCAGUAGGGAAUCUUCCGCAAUGGGCGAAAGCCUGACGGAGCAACGCCGCGUGAGUGAUGAAGGUCUUCGGAUCGUAAAACUCUGUUAUUAGGGAAGAACAUAUGUGUAAGUAACUGUGCACAUCUUGACGGUACCUAAUCAGAAAGCCACGGCUAACUACGUG
rnacentral:rRNA from 1 species